AUGCCACAAAAUGAACAUAUUGAAUUACACCGUAAAUGCUAAAUGUAUCGUUUGGAUUACCAUGAGAAAAAGAGAAAAAAGGAAAGUCGAGAGGCUCAUGAAUGAUUGAAGAAAGCAAAGAAGAUGAUUGGUCUGAAGGCUAAGCUCUACGAUAAGCAGCGCCAUGCUGAGAAAAUACAAAUGAAAAAGACUAUCAAGAUGCAUGGAAAGAGAAACACCAAACAAAAGAAUGAUGAAAAGACUCCACAGGGAGCAGUACCUGCCUAUCUUCUGGACAGAGAGGGACAGUCCUGAGCCAAAGUACUUUCCAAUAUGAUUAAACAAAAACGGAAAGAGAAAGCGGGAAAAUGGGAAGUCCCUCUGCCCAAAGUUCGUGCCCAGGGAGAAACAGAAGUAUUAAAAGUUAUUCGAACAGGAAAGAGAAAGAAAAAGGCAUGGAGGAGGAUGGUUACUAAAGUCUGCUUUGUUGGAGAUGGCUUUACAAGAAAACCACCUAAAUAUGAAAGAUUCAUUAGGCCAAUGGGCUUACGUUUCAAGAAGGCCCAUGUAACACAUCCUGAACUGAAAGCUACCUUUUGCCUACCAAUACUUGGUGUAAAGAAGAAUCCCUCAUCCCCAUUACAUACAACUUUGGGUGUUAUUACUAAAGGUACUGUGAUUGAGGUCAACGUGAGCGAGUUGGGCCUUGUGACACACGAGGGCAAGGUUAUCUGGGGGAAAUACGCCCAGGUUACCAACAAUCCUGAAAACGAUGGAUGUAUAAAUGCAGUCUUACUGGUUUGAUAGCAGUUUCAUACAAGUAACUUCUUAUUGAAGACUACAUACCAGUUGGGAAAACCACCAUUACUGUGAUGUUUCUGAAUGCCACCAAAUAGCCUUCCAUGUCUGCAGUCAUCAAAAGAACUAUUCAUUUAAUUGUAUAAAACAUUAAAAUGUCAAGUUAAAAAAAAAAAAAA